GACGAACGCUGGCGGCGUGCCUAAUACAUGCAAGUCGAGCGAAGCGGCGGAUGGGUGAGUAACGCGUGGGUAACCUGCCCUUAAGUUUGGGAUACCAUUUGGAAACAGAUGCUAAUACCGGAUACUAAAGGAUGGACCUGCGAUGCAUUAGCUAGUUGGUAAGGUAACGGCUUACCAAGGCGAUGAUGGAUAGCCGAGUUGAGAGGCGGAUCGGCCAAAUUGGGAUUGAGACACGGCCAAAACUCCUACGGGAGGAAGCAGUAGGGAAUCUUCCACAAUGGACGAAAGUCUGAUAGGGCAACGCCGCGUGAGUGAGGAGGGUUUUCGGAUCGUAAAGCUCUGUUGUUAGUGAAGCGGUAAUCAACCAGAAAGUCACGGCUAACUACGUGCCAGCAGCCGCGGUAAUUC
rnacentral:rRNA from 1 species